rfam:Aedes aegypti strain Liverpool supercont1.103 genomic scaffold, whole genome shotgun sequence.
UGUUCUGUAGCUUAGUUGGUUAAAGCGCCGGUCUAGCGUACACGGAGUCGUGAGUUCGAGUUUCACUAGAACGC